AAACAGAUACAUAUCCGGUCACCAUUUAGGUGUGAGUUGGAUGUAAUUUCAAAAACUGUGAUUCCAAUAUUAUUUUAAGAAAUAUAUUACAAAAUCCCGCGAUAGGACAGAUUAUCUCGCGAGAUAGUGGUCACGUCACGCGUUCUUCCGGAAGUUCACAUUCAAACACGAGGAGCGAUUACGAGGGAGUUUUGUCUAUAUAUUAUGCAAAAUCUACUGUUGGGAAAAGCAGAACCUCGUCCAAAUAAAAAUAAACAAACUGUUAAAGGCACUGUGUCCUACACAGACCCUCCAAAAUAUAACCACCCAAAACCCAAGUCAGUUGAAGAUCAACACAAACCAAAUAAAGAUGUUGCACAUUCUACAAACAAUAACAAAAGAUCAAGUGUUGUGUCAAACACACUUAGAUGAGGCGUGCCCGACCCCUGACUUUGUCUACCCUACAUUAAGUUGCACACUUCAUGACAGUAAACAUCGGUAUCAAGAUGGUGUGAUUGAUCUAUACCCUGGCCUAGAAUAAGCUGUGACACUAUGAGACGGUCACAUAAUGAACAGGCAUCUUACAGACAACCGAAAGAGGCAUACGUAUUCUCUACAAUCCCAAAUUCUGGAUUGACGCCCCAGUACCAGAGGGCACCCCAAUCCCAGAGAGCAUCCAUCUGAAAGCAGGUGAUGAAUUUACUACUAAUCAAGGAACUGGCUUUACUGACGAGAUGCGCAUGAUAUCGCAUGCGAUUUAUCGUGCAGCCCUAGAUUUUACAUUAGUGACAACUCAGCUUAGAGGAUAAACAUGUACAUUUCUCUGAAUCUGAGUUAAUAGUUACAAAUACAGAGCUUAUAAUGUCUGUCAUUGCUCAACCACAAAGACCUAAAAGUACAGACAGCUAAUUUCAUAACUAAUGCAGUAUUACACUGUGAAGUUAUUUAUAUAUACUGUUAAAAUAUUACACUACCAUAUAAUUAACUCUAUUUGUCCAGGUGAGGUAACACAACGAAAAAAUAACAGGAUGGAGACUACCUGACUCUUCACCUAUGGCCUCAGCUUCAAAUGUCCAGCAACUGUCUGCGUUGGUGGAUAUUCUGUCAGAGACUGCGUGAACAAUGUUAUGAGCAGGUAUGUAUUUCUCUUGAAUUGUGUAAUCCUGCAUAAUAUUUCAGGAAUAUAUGUUGAUUACCACCAUUAACCCAGCUAUUUAUAUUACUUCAUUUCAGGAUUUAAUCUGUCACACAUUACUUGUCAGAAGUUUUAAUGUUCGUAGUGGUUCAAACAGUCAGCCAUACUGAAAACAAGAAAUCAAAACAUAAUUUCAGUAAUGAUGUCUAAUUGUCUUAUGGCAAAGUUCAAUAUGAGGGGUGGUGGACAUCUGGAAAAGAAGUCUUUUAAAGGCACACCUUUGUAUUAUGUUAUUCAAGAUGCUGUGAAGAGGUGGAGCCCAAAUGCCAGAGACUCAGAAAUAGAUGCAGCUAUGGCAGACCACCUCAAGCACGCUCCAGGAAGAGGGCUGGGGGUUGUGAAUACACUAAAUAAGCCAAACAGCUGUAAUGUGUUAAAGAGAGAGUUAACCCAAAAAUGAAAAUUUUAUAAUUUUCUUACCCACAUGUUUCAAACCUGUAUACAUUUCUAUUUUCUGCUGAACACAAAGAUUGAAAAAUGUUUGUAACCAAGCUAACUGUCAAUAAUUUUUUUUUACAACUGUAGUACUGGGUUGUGAGAUCUGCUUUCUGCUUUCUAUUCUUUCAAAUAUCUUUGUGUUCAGCAGAACAUAGAAAAGUAUACAGGUUUGAAACAUAAGAGAGAGUAAAUUACUAAAUAAUCAUUUUUGGGUGAACUAUCCUUUUAUAUAGUAAAGUAUUUUGAAAUUGUUAUUAUAGUUAAACAGUUUAAAAAAAAUAAAAAGUGCUAAAUCAGAA